CAGAUUCUUCUUUCAAGGCCUGGGUGAAGACCUCUGCCUCCAGGAAGCCUCCUGUGGCCAGCCAAGCCAUAACUCUUAGACCUCUGGGGAGGUGGUCCCCAUUUGCUGCCAACUCCAGCGCCAGGCUGAUGGCUGCCAGGAGCAAGAUGACAGAAGGACGGGAGAGGCUGCAUCCAGGUUUGGCUGGAGAUGUGUGAUUGAUUAGUGAUGCCUGCCAGGGUCAGGGAUGGGAGGACUGUAGUACCUCAGGUUUGCUUUCCCUGGAGAGGUCUCUGGGACAUGCAGCCAUUUAUCCUAACAUCUGUGCGUUUGUUGAUGCUAAACUUCUCUCCUUUCCUUACCCUCUGUUUGCCCAGGGGAAACAGGGGUUCCCGAUGGCAGACAUCCUGCCCGUGCUUUCUCUGUGUCCCUUGUAGUGCUAGGCACACAUGGGGACUCGACAAACCCUAGUCAGAUGGAGAGUCAGUGAGUAAAAUGCUGUCACUCUCCCUAGAGUUAUAAAAUAGGUCAUAGGACAUCAGAGGCAUCACAGAGGAGGGACCUGGAGGUCCCUGAACCUGAAGUGGAGAAGCAUUUUCUCAAGAUCCCAGAGGGAGUUGCUGUAUUGCUGAGGGGUGUUUCUCAGACCUGUGGGGCAGAGCCCAACAUCCAGCCUGGCAUCAGGGGUCCCUAGGCUGCCUCCCUGUGUCCACCGGCUCCCAUAGAGGCUCCUCUUCUUCUCCUCUGAGGCUCUGGGGGCAUCCUUAGUGCAAUAUCCUCCCACACAUGGGAGCCACACCUGUCAUUAUCCAUCCGCAUAUUACUGAUGGGAAAACGGAGGGAUCUCAGGGUUCACGGCUGGACCUGAGGGCCCCGCCCGCCCAGCAGGCUGGAGAAGCUCUGGUCCCCAGCGUAGGCUGACUCAGUUCAGGACACUUUCCAUGCAGACCUUUCUGCAGAUUGUGCGAAUUAGAAAGGCACUUACAGGUGAACAGUUCUGAGCCUGUUGUGAUCCAGAUGGAGAAAAUGAGGCCCCGAAAAGGCCAGGGGCUGACCCUGGCCACACAGCUUCCCCUAACAGAUAGGCUUCCUGACAACCAGGUCCUGAGGUGAGCCAGGCUAUGUGUCUGGGCCCUUACCAGAGCCCCUUCUGCUCAGGUCCCAAAAAGACUGCUGAGAGGGACCUGCAGGACUCCUGCUCUGGCAGCCCGCAUGGCACUAGCAUACCCUGGGCUUUCCCACCAAGUCAGAUAUUUUGACCUCCCACCCAUCCUGUGAGGGUGAGAAAAGCAAGCCCUAAGUCAGUGGAGUUCAUGCAGCAUGAGGGCCAGGGUGCGGGCCUGGGCUCAGAAGUGAUCAGCUUAGCCCCUGAUGCCUGGGACACUUGGCCUCUGAGCCUUGCCGCCUCAUCUCCCAAAUGAAGCAUGCUCAGGGCAUCUUGGCAGCUUGGUCCAGCUUCAAGUUCUUACUAUGGUGCAAAUGACUGAUAGCAGAACCUUCCCUGAAGCCAUGUUGGCAGGAAGGGGGAAGGAGUGGGGGAAGGUGGGAAUGGGAUGCUGGGGGCAGGGGUGCUGAGAUAUGGGUGGCAAUGUGGUCAGGGGAGGGGCAGGCCUGGGAGCUGGAUGCUCCCCCAGCUCCUGACCCCUCCUGGGCUGGCCUUCCUCUUCUGCUUCCUUUCCUUCCCAUCUCUCCCUCUUGCCUCUGCUGUCCUCCUGUCGCAGCUGAUAAUUCAGUCCUCCCUGCUGUGUAGGGCGCCAUAAAGAGCUGGCCUUUAGCCAGAUUUGCAUUGGUGGUUUAUUGAUUUAAUUAAGCAGGGGCUGGAAGCAGCGCCCCCCUCCAAGAUGUGAGUCUGGGCAGGGGCUGGGCUGGCCCUGCAGGGUGGCUGACAGGCACCGAAGACCCGGGGGGCUGCUGACAUCAGGGCAGUCUGAUUCAGGGACCUGUGCUUCCUGUGACCUUUGUCCCUCCAUCUCUCUUGGACGCUAUCAAAAGUGACAGUGCAAGCGGCAGUGACAGCUUAAUCAAGCCCGGACCCUCUGCCAGGGAGAUGGGGCCUCAGUGGGUAGUGGGCAGAGGGGCCUCUGGCCCCACCAGCCUGGAUCCCACCUCAGCACUACCUCCUCCUGCAGAUGCCCGCUCCGCCCCAGGAAGGCUGCUCCUUUGUCCUCCACAGUGGCACUGUAGCUCUGGAGGCCUGUGGCAUGUUCCCCGUGCCCACUCUUGCCUGGCAUCUCCAGAUGCCAUCAUGGAGCAGCCAUUUGCUGUGUCUGCAGAAGAGGCCGGAGUGACUUUAAAUGACCUCUGAGCUCCCCGCCUGGGGGACUGUGUGGCCUGCCUCCCAGCUGCCCUUUCCAGGCCUCCGUCCUUCUGGAUGUAAGUAAAGGUUGGAGUCAGCAUCGUCUGAGGUCCCUUCUAGCUUCUUGGCUGUCCUUCCUUUUGUGCCCAGGGAGCUGUUCUUAUGCCAUGGAGUGCUAGGCACCAGGCUGGGGGGUUCUCACACUUCCGGGGUCAGCCAGUCCUCACUCCAGCUUUGGAAAGUGGGCAACCUCAUCCUCACUUUAGAGAUGAGCAACUCAGAGAGGUUGAAUGACCUGCCUCAGGCCACACAGCUCUUAAGAGGCAGAGCUUGGCUUGAGCCCAGCCAGUUCUGGGAGGAGUGACAAUGUUGAUGGAGUUCCUCUAGCAUCCCCCACCAACCUACUGCUACUUGGGUUCCUGUAGUCAGUCACAAGACACCUCCCUCCUCUCCAGAGUUGGAAGAAAAGGGCUGCCUCUGGGGAAGGGGAUGGAUACUGGGGGACAGAGAUGCUGCAGGCGGACUUUGGUUCUGUCCUUUGGUGAGGAAGAUGGAGGCCCAGGGUUGCUGGUGCUGAGUUGGCCACAUCCCCCAAGGGAGCCAGGAGGCUGGGUGAGGGGGUGGGGUGGGCUGCUGCAGAGUGGCAUCUUUGCAGGAGUGGGGCUGAGAUGAGAUGGGGCAUCUUGGUGGCUCAGAGCCUGACAGAUCUGCCAGGGUGCUUGAGGCCAUUGCCCAGAUAAGAACACUGAGGCCCAAGGUCACACAGUCUGGGGGGGGGGUCUCCCUGGGAAAGUCCAGCCUGGCCCUCUGCUGACCCUCCCAUUUACAGUCCUAGCCACCUAGCGCAAGGUGGGCACCCAGCGGGUGCAGGGGGCAGGCGGGAGCAGGCACCCUCCCCACAAGCCUGUGUCAGCAGCGUCUCUCUCAUGAGUUCACAGCUGCUGGUGAACAUCUGCUCUGUCUUCCACCCUGGCACCACCUGCCGUCCCGCCCGCUCCGCCUCUCUCAGCAGCUUUCUCAGUUUCUCUACGUCUCGGCUUCUUUCUCUCUCCUCCCUCUCCCGUUCUCUGGGUUUCUCAGAAUUGGUCACCUCUGCCCUGUUCCCUGGGCAAUGCCAAGCUCCGCAGUGCCCAGGAUGCAGGGGGAGGUGGAGAGCCGAGGGUGACAGGUCAGGCUUGGGGACUACAUGGUUGCAGGCUUUGCCAUUCCCUGGCUGACCGCCCUGAGCUUCCACCUUCUCAUCUGUAAAGUGGGGAUAACAGUCCUCACCUCAGAGGGCCGCUGUGGGGGUCAGGGCUGAGGAUGGUGCCUGGCACCAUUCAAGGCUUCUUCUGUUCCACACCCGGGCUCAGAGUUACUGCCACUGUCACCCACUCUGCCCAUUCCCAAACCUGGACGUGCCCGGGACUCCUGGGCAGCCCUGAGAAGGUUAGGUUCUCCCAGCUCGCUUCUGCCCAGUUGGCACCAUCAUGUUGUAUCUCUGCCAAGCUGUCAUCCGCCUCUGAUGUGUCAUGAUUGUUAACGGGGUGGGCUAACAGCCUGGGGCCUGGAGCCACCACACAGCUCUCCCAGCCUCCCAGCCCAUCUGUAAAAUAAAAACACGUUCUCCUUCACAGACAUGAUGUGAGAGCUCCUGUAAAGCCCUUGGCACAGGCUUCCAUGGGCAUCGGAGGCUCAACACAUGGGCCUGAGUGUGGAUGAACUCUGCCAGGGGCGGGGCACUCCUCCUAGCCCCCUUACCCCCCACCCCGACUGCUCACAGCGUUGGGAGGGGCUAUCAAGGCAGCCUGUUCUAGACGAUCUCCUGGCGUGUUGAAAUGCUUCAGUGCCCUGAGGAGUCCUCCCUCACCUCUGCCUGCUUGUCCUCUUUCGCCUUCCAGAAGCCUCCUCCACCUGCUCACACUGCUGACUUCUUCCUCUGGCCUCUUGCAGCAUGACUGGCGAAGCCCACACCUGGCACCUGUUUCCUGCUGGUCUGCUCGUUCUCACCUGGGGUGUUGCAAAGGCCUCCCAAGGGGUUGUCCCGCCCCUCCUCUGCCCUCUUCUUUCUCUAUUUUUAUCUGGAAGGAUUAAAAAAAGAGCAUUUUUUUUUUAAGUAGAAAUUGCUCAAAUCUGUAUAUAGCCUGGUGGAUUUCUUCAUGUGUUGACACUGGAUAAAUGCCUUAUUGAUCAAGAUACAGAACAAUUCGAACAGCCCGGCAGGUCCCCCUGUGCCCCUUUCCGGUCAAUAAUCUCCCCAGAGGUAACCAAUAAUCAGAUUGUAAUUCCCAAAGUUAAUUGGGCUCCAUUUAAUUGGAAGCACAGAGCAUGUAUUCAUUCCUCUAAGCCUUUCAUUCAGGACUGUCUAUGAGAUCACGCAUGCCAUUGCCUGUAUCGGUAAUCUGUCCCUUUUCAUUGCUGUGUAGUAUUUCAUCAAAUGACCAUCAAUUAUUUCUCCAUUCUACAGUAGACAGGCAUGGGAGUAGUUUUCAGUUUGGGGCUCUUUUGAAUAAAGCUGUGAUGAUUGUUUUUGUACAUGUCCUUGGACCUCACAGGCUUUCAUCUCUCUUGGCUAAAUACCCGUGAGUGGAAGGGCUAAAUCGCUGCAGGGAUCACACAGGUGUUUGGUUUCAGUAAAUACUGCCAAACAGUUUUCCAAGUGGGUGAACCACUUAACACGCCCACCAGCCACAUAUGAGUGUUCUGGCAGCUCCACAUUCUCGUCAUCACUGGGAGUUAUCAUUCCUUUUUAAUUUUAGCCCUUUUGGUGGGAGUAGAAUGGUAUCUCCUUGUGGUUUUAAUUUGCAUUUCCCUAAGGACUGAUGAGGUUGAAAGCUUUCCCCAUGCUUACCAGGCAGCUGGAGAUCAUCUUUUGUACAGAGCCUGUUAAAGUCUUUAGCCAGUGUCUUUUAUUGGGUUGUCUGUUUUCUUUCUUUCUUUCCUUCUCUUUCUUUCUUUCUUUCCUUCUCUUUCUUUCUUUCUUUCUUUCUUUCUUUCUUUCUUUCUUUCUUUCCUUCCUUCCUUCCUUCCUUCCUUCCUUCCUUCCUUCUUUCUUUCUUUCUUUCCUUUCUUUCUUUUCUUUUUUUUCUUUCUUUCUCUCUCUCUCUCCCUCUAUCUUUCCUUCCUUCCUUCUCUUCCUCCUCCCUCCCUCUCCCUCAUCCUCCUUCUUUCCCUCCCUCCCUCUUUCUCUCUUUCACUGGCUGCACCCAUGGCAUAUGGAAUUUCCUGGCCCAGGGAUGAAUCCGAGCCACAGGUGUGGCACUGGGGGAUCCUUUAACCCACUGCACCAGGUCAGGAUGGAACCCGUGCCUCUGUAGUGAUCAGAGCCACUAUAGCUGGAUUGUCAAUCCACUGUACCACAGCAGGAACUCCUUGCCUGUUUUUUUCCUUGAUUCAGAGAUUUUUUUUCUUUGUUCUUUUAAAACUACAUUCCAGAUCUGAUUCAUCUAUUGGAUAUAUGUAUAGGCUCUGGGCUUUUCUAUCUUCAUCACCUACCUUCCUGCCUUUUCAGAACCCCUGACUUUGCUUGAAUAGGCUGUGUGGUUUCCCACCUUUGAAGGUGAGGUGCCCUCUGCCAGGUGGAAUCUCCCCUGUCUCUUCUCUGCCUCACUAGAGUUUGCUUUUCAAGACUAACUCAGAGUUCCCACGUGGCUCAGCAGUAACAAACCCGACUAGUAUCCAUAAGGACAUGGGUUUGAUCCCUGGCCUCCCUCAGUGGAUUAAGGAUUCAGCGUUGCUGUGAGCUGUGGUAUAGGUAGAAAAUGCGGCUUGGAUCCUGUGUUGCUGUGGCUGUGGUGUAGGCUGGCAGCUAUAGCUCUGAUUCAACCCCCAGCCUGGGAACCUCCAUACGCCCCAGGUAUGGCUUUAAAAAAAGGCCAAAAAAAAAAAAAACAAACAAAAAAAA
rnacentral:lncRNA from 1 species